GACUGAUUGCAUGACCUGCACAGGCGAAAACCCUCUCCGAUGGUGUUGAUGAGGCCGUAAAGCGCCUAGAGACAAUUGUAUUGUUAUGGCGCUAUAUAAAUAAAAUUGAAUUGAAUUGAAUUGAAUUGAAUAUAUGUAUCUGAAAGUUCAAGUUUCAAUGACUUUCAGUUACGUUAAAUGACCGGACUACUUGCGUUGCGGAAUGAUAUGAAAGAUGUGAAUUAGAAGCACAAAACCCGUUGCCAAUGACUGCAGUCAUACAUAUUUCGCAGCAGUGAAUUUACAGACCUGCCAACGUUGGGAUGGCCCAUUCAAAUCAACUGAACUUUUUGGAACAUUCUGAAGAGUAUAAUAAGAGUAUAAUAAGUACAGGUAUUUAUGUUUGAUUCCUAAUUUACAAUUGACCUCCGCGGACCGCACAGGGACAGCCAACGGGCCGCAAAUAGCCCUUGGGCCGCACUUUGCCCAGGACUGAUCUAGAACAAGCUAGGGCUGCAUUCUAUACAUUUAAGUUUGUUUAGUCUUUCUUCACUAAAGCUGAGAGUUGCAAGAAAGGAUCUGGAAGAGUAACUUCAAUAGAAGCAUCACAAUCACAAUCAGAAGCAUCCACGAAACCUGAAAUUCUAAACAAUUAACACUUAUUCAUUGAUCGCAGCUGUGGGAUUCAGAGGGCAAUGUUUUGGCAUAGCUAGAGCUGAUUACAUCUGCCCCCAGUGACUGAAUUUAACCAGUAACCAGUAUCAUGUUAAUUUUCUCCUGUUUAUAAAAAAACAAAACACAUUGUGCGAAAAUCGGUUUAGAAUUAAGCGGGUUACAAGUCUGCAUCGUCAAUACACAGGCUUUGUUUACUUCUGAUCCAAUAUGGCGACUACGCCGACGCACGUCAAAGCGACAUGUUUGUAAAUUUGACUGCAGCCUACAAUUCCCGCGGUGAAUCUCGUGGCGCGCUUGUUUAUGACGACAUACAGCAUAUAAAUACCGUUCAUUCACGUGAUAGCGUUCUCUUGGAGUCAGUCCCAUCUUUUUGAGACACUCCUCCCAAACAUGAGAGCGAAGUGGAGGAAGAAGCGCAUGCGUAGGCUGAAGCGCAAAAGGAGAAAGAUGAGGCAGAGGUCCAAGUAAACUGCUUCCCUUCUGCUGCAGCUGGAACUGCUCCUCCUAGACCUUCCCACCGACCCCUCGCCUUCUCCAGAAACCCAAGCUGAGGCCUUUUGAAGGACUCCUACAUUCCUCAGAAGGAUGCGGGCACCCUUGUUGGAUCUCCUGGCUCUUCUAUUUGUGAUGUGCUGACCUGUGAAAGCUUCUCUUGGACAUUCUGGACUUCCGCCAGCUCAGCAAAGUUUUUGUUUAUAUUUCCUUGAAUAAAGAAAUUUGAUUUGGAAAAGGGGAAAUGCUGUAUUCUAUUUCUACCACUACGAUGGUACAGGUUUUUUUUUUUUUUUUUUUAAUGCUCCAGUUUUAUAGUUGGACUGGUGGGGGUUUAGUUAACCUGUGAUGUAGUGUAGAUGGUCAAAUAAGGUUUUCUUGGUUAGAGUUCAUGGAAUUUCACCAAGUUUUAAAAAAAAAAAACGGACCAGGAAAAUAUUUCGCUCCAUGUCUAGGAAUGAAGUUCAUCCAACCAUGGUGACCCUGAUCCCUAGGAAGCUUGAUUUAACAGAACCUCACAUUCCAUCGAAAAUGACAUGCUCUAAAGGUGCCAUCUGUCGGAUCGCCGCAGAAAUGGCAUAUGGUAUCAUAAGUGUUUUCUUUACUGUAUUACCUGUAAUUAGAAAUUGUGUUGGCUUAAUGCGCACUUCAUAUCUAUAUAGAGAGCGGGUCCUCUUCUGCAGGCUCUGCCGUGUUGUACCGCCAUGUUUGUACAGUAGCCCAGAAUGGUGUUUUAGUGUUUUUAUGGCAACGGAUGGCCACCGUAGGCUAUCUAGAAUAUUGGAGAGGGCUGUUCAGUCGGUUGUUCAAUCUUGCCGCUAGAUGCCACUAAAUCUUGCACAAUGCACCAUUAAUUAAGAUAUAAGGUAGACGUUCUCUAUUGAGAGGAGUGGUUGAAAGUGAAGCAGAUAGAUUGGCAAAUUCAUUCACAUUACUUUUAUUUUCUGAGAUAAAAGUAGAUGAAUUUGUAGAUUUUAAGUUUUAAGUGCCUUGACUCGUGCCUGGGAAAGUGCACUGAGUUGAGGUCAUUAGAGGAAAAGAAAGCACAACUUUAGUCUUGUGACAUGCUUUAAUCUGACCAUAUGCAGGCAGUCUAGGGAAUUUGUAUAUGUAUAUGUACUUGGCGGGCUGAUUUUUCAAGGCUUCAAAAAGUGAUUUGGUCUAAGCUGUGUCUGUUGAGGUAAUACAAUUUUUUUGUAGUUCCCUAUUUUUUCAACAUAUUUGAGCUGAUAACAGUUUUAACAACAUUUGUUAUUGGUACAUAUGUUAGCAAACUCACCUCUGAUAUUGUCUUUUCGAAGAAAAAGUAAAACCACAGCAUCGCCAAAUAUCUGGGAAAUGAGCCUUACCAUUCUCCUGUCAUGCAUAACUGAUUUGCUCACUGGACUGUUAUCUCAGUACACACUGAAAGGAACACCAUUAAGACAGUGCUUUUGCACAAGGCCUUCUGAGUAGCACCUAUCAUUGUGCAACUAGUAUUUCAGGAGUAUGCCACUUAAUCUAACUCGAGGUUAUUAUUUUUGCAUUAGUAUGAUCUAAGACCAAACUGGGAGGACAGAUAACAGUUCAGCUGCACUGAAGAAAAAAAUCAAUCUAUCCAGCUGUUUAGGGAGGGCAGAAAUAAUUCACUCUUCUUUUGUAGGUCCCACCACUCUUUGAGGCUGAGUGCUUGCAUCACAGCAAACACCUUGAUGCCGUUGCUUUACCAAAGCUACUUCUUGGUCACAGAGGCAUCAGCAAUUGUGCAGUCCUUUUCUUGUCUAUAAAAAGCAGCCCAGAGACACUGGCUAUAGUCCCUGUGGCUGACUGUUUCCCAUUGUUUUAAAUUCAGAAUCCCGAAAGCUGGUUGGCUGCUGUCCAGUUGUCACAUGCUGAUGUGAGUAAACACAACGUUCUGUACUUCCUAACCCACAUGUCUAUAUAAGGUCCCACAGCCGACAA
ensembl:lncRNA